AGUGAACGCUGGCGGUAGGCCUAACACAUGCAAGUCGAACGGCAGCACAGUAAGAGCUUGCUCUUACGGGUGGCGAGUGGCGGAUGGGUGAGGUAUACAUCGGAAUCUACUUUUUCGUGGGGGCUAACGUAGGGAAACUUACGCUAAUACCGCAUACGACCUACGGGUGAAAGCAGGGGAUCUUCGGACCUUGCGCGAUUGAAUGAGCCGAUGUCGGAUUAGCUAGUUGGCGGGGUAAAGGCCCACCAAGGCGACGAUCCGUAGCUGGUCUGAGAGGAUGAUCAGCCACACUGGAACUGAGACACGGUCCAGACUCCUACGGGAGGCAGCAGUGGGGAAUAUUGGACAAUGGGCGCAAGCCUGAUCCAGCCAUACCGCGUGGGUGAAGAAGGCCUUCGGGUUGUAAAGCACUUUUGUUGGGAAAGAAAAGCAGCAGGUUAAUACCCCGCUGUUCUGACGGUACCCAAAGAAUAAGCACCGGCUAACUUCGUG
rnacentral:rRNA from 1 species